AAAACUUUACAAUUCUCAAUUCAGCUGACUUUGUAAAUCUCAUCUGACGUGUCUUUUAUUUCGCUAAAACUCGUUGUUUUGGUAAAACAGAAAUCUGUAACCUGCAAUUAUCACUUGUCAGUUAAUUAUCGUUUCACCUUAUCAAUUAAAUACAUUCACUGUCAGUAAUAUAUCACCAGUUAAAUAUAUUCAUUAUCAUAUUGCUAAUUAGUAAAUAAUCGUGCAGGAUGAUUCAAGUGGCCGACUUAAAAUCACCGAGUUAAAUUUUCAAGAGUUCACCAGUACCAGAGAGACAUCCGGCCUGUACCAAAGUUUGAGGUUAAAGAGGCCACGCCACGCGGAACGUGAAUAAACGACAACCGCCAGUUAGACGGAUGUUUCGAAAACUUCAUUUCUGUCAGCUGUCACCGGACGCCGAAGCAAAAGGGGAAACAACUGCAAAGUUUUCCGAAUUUUUCAUUUUUUUUCUUCUUCGCUGACGGACGCUUGUCGAUAGCAUCGAUAUUAUCACACCGAUGGAAGCCGAGAACGGGAACUACGCACGGACGUGACCUUUAAAUAUUUCACGAACAUUCGUAAGACGUAUCGAACGGAGCUUAGCAGAAUCGUCGAAGGGAUUUUUCACCCGUAUCUCGGGGAGGGCAAUUCGAGCCAGGAUCACGCCCGGUCCACUCAACGGGAAGAUUACUUUUCUUCUCUCGACGUUGCACCAGCGCCAGAUCCUCGCCCGUUCCCUCGUUAUCUUUUGUUUCUUUGUCAGCGGGUAUUACUCUUUGUAGCAGCGACGCGUUGAAAUUGCUCCUAUUGACGGUCCUUCGUACACUCUCACUGCCGCCAUGUUGAUUUUUUUAAUUUGAAGGGAGAAAAAAAUAAUUGAACAGCGUACUUUUUGAACUAACAACGAUCUCCCUUCGUCGUGAUUUAGAGGCAAAUAAUUCUUUCCUUUUUGUAGGUCAUGUUCAUCUCUUUGCAUUUACAAAUUAACCUCUUUGCAGAUCAAAUUCACCUUGUGGGUGUCAAAAGUGAAGUAACUAACAGUUUAUUAUUUCUAUCACCAUGCUUUCUCCAAUGAUGAACCUCGUUGAAGAAGUUUUUCCCAAAAUAAAGUUCUGUGCAGGGAAUAUUUCGACUCAAAACUGUGAACAUUCAGUGAUUGUUAUUAACCAUUCUGUUGCAACAAUCACUCCUACAGAUUGUCAUAAUCAGUUAUAUGAAUAUAUCAUCGAUGAAUCUACAUACACAUGUUGGCUUAGGACUUGAGAGAAAUUUGUAGAAGAACUCGAUUUGCAGAAGGAUGUGAAUUUGACCUGCAAAAAGGAACAUGACAGAAUAGUUGCAGGAAGUUGACCGUGAGUAAAGUGCCAGACACGUUCGCACGACGUCUCGAUUCGUUCACACGGAUCAAAUUCGAAUGCAAUUGGAACCAACCACGCAGAGAUGCUUGCACUGUCGGGAAGCAUCGGCGUUUGCACGCUCGUUGAAAAUCGCACGCCGCGUCAAAGGACUAAUUAACCACGUGGAAUUUAACUUUUUUUAGACGAGCGAUGCCACUCGACUCUUCCACGAGAAUCAACGAGACGCACAUAUUACUGUGCGAAAAACGUACCUGUAAAUCCACAAUCGGACAAGCUCUGACGACCAAAAUUUCAAACAAAAACAGAGUUUCAAAAAUCCAGUUUUUAAACAUUUAACGAAAAAGAAAAAAAGAACUACUUUUAUUAGCCUGGAAAAAAAAAAAAGGGAACGUUAAACACAAAAGUUGGAAAAGCGUUUUCCACUGUGAAUCAAACGAAACAAAUUCGAUAAACGCCUCCUUGGAAAAACAAAUGGCUCGACGAUAAAGCCUCACGGACACAUUUUACGAGUGAGUAUCGCUGCAUUUAUUGAUUUCGGACAUAAUGUUUGCCGCGAGUAUAUUUUCAGCUGUUCAGAACGCGGAGGAGAGCUCCGAGGAAUGACAAUUGAAUUAAAGCGCAUAGAUAAUGCGGCUCGAAAGGGAAUCGCUGGAUCUGCAAGUGAAAUGAAGGACGCUGAAUAAAAACGGGAUAGUUCGCGCGGACCGGAAGUCGCAAGGGCACCCGCACCCGGCAGGAAAAUUGGCUCGCCAACAGUUCCACAAAAAACUGCCGAGAAUUUUCGUUGAACUCGGGCGUUUUCGGAUUGAAAUUGUGAUUCUGGAAUUACCGUGGCUCUGAAUGCCACUUGAACGGCCCCGACUUCCUACGGUGAAAUGGAAUAAAUUUCAGGGGAUAUAUAUAUACGAUGUAAUUCACGCGAUUAUGAAAGUCGCGAUUAUCUGUCGCAAGAGAACAUCAACUGAACUUGAUAACGUGUCGAGCCUCUUGUCUUUUGAACUGUUGUAAGUAUAAAUGUACCAAGAUCGCAUCUUUAAUGAAGAGAUGAGAUGAAUAGAUUGAGUAUCCCUGUACAAUUGAAACAAUUGUGUACGAAACACAAGCAACAACCUAGUGAAUGACUUGAGAAACCGAGAUUAAUAACAUCAUCAGGUACAACCGAGGAUAAUUUCCAGUCCAAGACCUCCGCAAGCUCGAUACCUCGACUCGUUGGCUGAACGAAUCGCAGAGUUAAGCUAAUCCACCAUUAAGCGAAUAAACCGAGGACGCGACAAAGAGCGUCUAUUAUAUAACGGACGACGAGAAGAAGCGACAAAAGGGAGGGCAGGUAGUCUCAAAGGUGGGUUCGAUCCAGCCUGGAACCACCUAUUCCACGCGAUUUUCACGAAUUUUUACGCGGCGAUUCCCGUGGGUUUUGUCCGCGAACAGUCAGCAGAGUAAAGAGAAUCGAUGAUACCCAUCCCGGGUUGGAAGCGACUUGUCCGAUUUGUCGUGAAUGUAACCGGAGAACAAUCUUGCGAUUCGAGGCGAUCGAAGGGCCAUUGGUUGGCCUGGCUUUGUUUUCUUGGCUGGUCAUCGUUAACGAGUGGCGUGCGAAGAGAAGAACGAGCUAGUAAUAAUGGAAGGAGCUAGCGAAUCGAGCUAGCUCCGAUUCGCAAGAGUUCUAAUAGCGUUCGAAGGUCGGCCGAAAGUGGAAAAGUAGUUCGCCUGCCUCGAUCGAUGCCGAGCUUUCCCGAUGGAAAGACAACGAACGGAUAAUCCGCCGUUUACUCAAGGUGGUUGCUAUCGUCAUCCGUCGAUUGUCGUUGGUUUUCUUAACUUGCUCAUUCUCAGCGUAAAGUAUCAUUGAUUCUGAAGAUGAAUCCAAGAUUGCAAUUUUCAUUCAAAGAUCUGAAAAAUCUGCUUCUAGCGAACAAUGAAAAAUUGGUCUGGGCCUUUAGAUUCGAGAGGAAAACUAUGGAAAACAGAGCCAGAAGAUUCCUUAGUUUCUGAGAUGAAUCCCGAAUCGAUCGAAGGACUUUUUCAAGCUCAAUUAUUUGCAAGCGUCCAAUAGUGCUCGACAACAGAAAUCUUACAAACGUGUCCCAGGUAGCACCUUAAGAUAACAAACACAGUGUUGCGACGAAGGCCUCGCCGAAGCAAAACUCGAUCAGAAGUCGAGACAACGAUUUUCCAUUUUCCGAUCGGUGUUUCCACCCUCCGGACCGGAGGCAACACUUCCGGGAGAUCAGCUUGUCGCUGAGGGAGGAGCGCCAGUGUGCGGGUUUCGAAAGGGAUGAGAGAAAAAGACGAAGAACGAGGGCAAAGACCGUGUGAAGAAAGAGGUCACCCGGAUCUCGAGCGGUCUUCUCUUAACUCUCGCACCAGAAAGCGAGCCGUAUCUUAAGGUAGCCCAUCAUUUUUCGUGGGAGGAGUUUUUGGCACGGCUGCCACCCCAUUUUUCCCACCCCGAGUUUCCACACCGACCGAAGGAGUGAUCGAUCGAUCCGCCAAGACUAUGCUUUUACCACCUACCACCACGCUCUGCCCGAUAGAGAGACGCCAUCAAGAAAAACGCGCGAUUACUCCGAUCGUUUUUUCGCUUCUGCAAAGAACCUUCCAGCUGGCUGAUCCGCGGUUGCUUUCAACGAUAUUAUUCCAACACCAAAAUGGCAUUUUCCAGACUGUUUGCGUGGAUGUGGGCUUGAUCUUCGUACUCGUGAAUGAACGUUCUUUUUUUUUUUCUUCAUCAGAAAUAUCGUCAUUUCAAAGCGAGUGUGGUAUGCAUGUACAAAGUGUGUGCACGUGUGUACAUAUGUACGUAUCUAGCCGCGACGCGAAAUUUCUUUCUCAAAAGGAGGCUCGCCGAACUUCAACUCGAGGGCCCUUUCUUCGUAGUAAUUCGAAGAGCUGGGAUGCAGCUACGCGAAGCGUUAUCUUCGAGUUCAUCGACCGUUUUUAAUCUCUCCCGAGUACAGUACAGAGUGUCUACACUGUCUCCUAUGAUGUUAACAUAUUCUCAUUCAAACUAUCAGCCGCAUAAUAGACCAACCUAAUUACUGCCGCAUCGAUUCUCGCCCUGGUAUGAAAGCCAUCUAACCUAAUUGAAUUCUCGCCCCCGUGCGAGCACAAUGUGAAGAGCAAUUAAAAGGACCCCGGGCAAAGUGGCCCCGGGUGGCACUCUGAAAAUGUUCAGUCUCCUCGAAGAAACCGGUCCGCUGAAAGCGCAGAGGCCAAAAGACAAACGGAAGAGCGCCAGUGGAACCGGCUGGCGCGCUGUUGUAAAAGCUUUGGAAAAGGAAUCGAGCUUUGACUUCGAUCACGGAACUCAGGCCAUUUCCAGGCUCGCUGUUCGACGAAAGUUGUUGGGAGAUUUUUCGUGGGACACUCGACGCGUUGGAAGAAAACGCCGGCGUUUAGUUUCAAAGGCGUUAGUUACGCCGGUCGAUCGAUCGACCUUUCCCCGACACAGGACCGCGUUUUCGGUCUCACCUUGCGCCUACGAGAAGGCAAAGGGCAAGGCAGAUUGAUAAGUCGAUAGAUGGAUGAAGGCUGGGAAAUUAGAGUGAGAGCAAUGGUAACAAGUAGUAGAGGGAUUCGAGCAUGUGGACGAAUACACGAAUCAUAUACAAAGGAAGAAACAAACUGUGAAAGAAAAGGGAAAACCGAAUAAUAUCGUCGCAGCAAAUGCAAUAAUCGGCUAAAGAAACUAAGUCUUUGAAGAGAGCUGAACCACUGAUGCCCAGGACCUUCGUAAUUGACAAUUUCUCUUUAUUUAAGGGAUCAAAGAUGUGGACGAGUCGUGUACAAAAGAAGAGAACGUACACAGAAGCAAAACAUAAGAGACAAACUGUGAAAAAAGGAAAAGUCGAAUAAUAUCGUCGUAGCAAAUACAAUAAUCGUCUAAGGAAACUAAAUCUUUGAAGAGAGCUAAACAAACUGAUGCCCAAGACCUUGAUAACUGAUACCUAAAACGCAAUGAGAAUCGUGUUUCUAUUGUCCGUCAGUCUUUCAUCAAUCACUUGAUCAUCGACAAGUGUUUUAUGCAAAGAAGAAAAAAGAAAAACGAAGAAAUGAAUAGAGGAAGACGAGAUACAGAGGUAAAGAGAGGAACAGAAGAUUGUGCAGAUAUAUAUAUAUAUAUAUAUAUAUAUACAUACGUAUACACGUACACAAGACUGAAAAGUUCGCAGCCCCUUGGUAAAUUCGUAACGUGGAAUGACGUCAUUGGUGGAGCGCGCGCAAAUGCCCCUGUUUCACAAUCCGCAAACGUCGUUUCCCGCGAUUCGUGCCACGGGGGCACCGCUCGUAAAACCAUUUCGGCGAUCUCGCGACAUAAAUUAUAAAAUCGACCGACGCCAGAUCGUCUGUGCAAUGGCCGGCAUGUAGGACGACGCGGAGGAAUCCGACGUUGGAGAAUCGAGACAUCAGAUACAUACUUGCUUCUGUUUCCCCCUACCUACUCGCCCUACCACCGUUACAUUCUUGGACCAUUCGACUUGGGAUUUAUUUCGACUCGAUUGACAAUGGAAUGCUCUCCGCUUGAGAAACUGGUGAAAAUAAUUUACUACGUUUUUCCCUCGGGGUCUCUUGAUGAUGGAGAUAACCGACAGUAACAGGGAGUACAUACGUGGAACGCUGCGACACUGUAGAUGAUCUUUGGAGAUUAAGGAAAGGAUGUGGUAGAUUAGAGUCUACUAUCGUACUAAGGUUCUCCAGUUGGAACCGAGUGGACGAUUUUCUGCUUCCUUUCACACUGGCUCUACUCGGAGCAGUUGAAACGAAUAAUUCAGAAUUUUCUUUGUGGACAUUUUGCAGAUGCAUCUUUCAGGGAUUUUUGGUAACUUUUAAGGAUGUGGAUAAAAGCUUCUCCCCUUGGAUUGUGUAAUACUUCACACAUGUGUUUCGUCUUGAAUCCUUCUAUUACAAGUCUUGCACUCUAGUCAUUAACAUCUAUUAGAACGUUUCGAAUUUUAAGAGAUAACUAUUUACAUAACAUUCCAUCAUUUGAAUAUUUGAGACACAGUUUCGCAACUCAGGGAACAAAAAGAGACGUCCAGAUUGAUAAGAAUGAACGUAAAGUUAAACGAUUCACGUUCCAAGGGAUAAGCGGGAUCAAGAAACCGACGCCGAGGACAAAAGAAGAGAAACAAAAUGAAAAUUGAAAGAAAGACGGAUGAACUUAGCAGCGUGAAAGAUCGUGGAGGUUUGACGGAUGAAAGGAACGGAUAAAACUCUCUCUCUCUCUUUCUCUCUCUCUCUCUCUCUCUCUCUCUCUCUCUCUCCUGGAAGAAGGAUGAAGAAGACUGAUAUAAAAAGCCUGAACGAUGUGGAGACGAGAGGUCGGUGAUGCGGAACGCGCAAAAUAAUAUUCGGGCCGAAUGUGGUAACAAGGUAUACGGUUUUCGAUUUCCCACGAGAGGCCAGGAAAAUUCAUAACCCAAUCUGUCGGUGAGCUAAGAGGAGCAGCGGGACACCGCGACGCGAUCUCUCCACCGUGCGUUUAUCAUUUUUGACUAACGAUUGCUAACCGACUGCAACACACGAACGUCCAGAAGAGCAGAGUGAAACGAUUCGCUGAAUGUUUAUCUGGUGAGAAAACUCACAUACCAUGAAGCGUAUUCGAACACAAAGGAAAAGAAGAAGGAGAAUAUUUAGAAUUGUAAACUUCAAAGUGAAGGUUACAAGGCUGAAUGCUUCUCAGGGAGGAAAAUUCGUAAGCUGUGUUGCGAUAUUUCAAAAAGAAUUGUCCGAUCAAAUAAUUCCAAGGAAAAUAUUACCAAAUAUCAUAAAAGACAAUCUCAAGACGCAUCACUAUAUAUAUGUAUGUAUCAUUAAUAGUGUCUUGAUUCAAGUCCAACCAAUGUCAGAAAAAGGGAAGAGAGAGAACAUAAAUUACAUUACAAUGUAAGGCUGGAUAUACCAGAAAGAACAAAUCAGGAAUUUAUAUAACUGUAUUGCAACAUCUGAAAUAAUUUCAAGAGAAAUAUCAUAACGAAAGACUAGUCUGACAUCAGGGAAAACCAAGGGAAAUAUUAUUAUCAAAUAUCAGAAAAGACAAUCUCAAGAUGCAUCACUAUAUAUAUAUAUAUAUAUCAUCAACAAUGUCUUGACUCAAGUCUAACCAAUAUCAGAAAAAGGGGAGAGAGAGAGAACAUAAAUUACAUUCUAACGAAGAGUCCCAUGACUGCUAGCUGCUUCCCUUCAUUCUGAGUAAUAAUCCCAUCGCUCGUCCCUUGUCGUCGCUUUGCCUAAUUGGAUCAACGAUCCUCGUGCCAUCGUAAGAAGACAAAAGCUCUCUGGUUCGCUUAACUUUGUUCAGUAACGCGGUGUCACGGACAAACAGAAAAGGAAGAAUUCCAAAGCAAAGUGUCCCCGUUGAAGAGACUCGUCGAGGAGACGAAAACGUAACGAGAACGAGUGUAAACGAGGAUAGGAGGCACGGUCCCGUAUCGGAAACGCACACCGAAUCCGGCGAAUCCAGCGACCUGUGAACCUGGCAGAAAUCCAGAAACCGCGCGUCACUGGUGAAAGAAGGCUCUGGCAACACGGGCGAUAAUCAUCGUAAACGUUGUCGAAAUCGCCCCCUUUUGUUUCGGCUCGGCCGACAAUGCCUCCGGUGAGCCCGCGAGAAGUUUCUCUGACGUCAUGAAAUCACUGGCUCAUUCGAGCUCUGGUGCACGAAUAUUUAACACUUGCAGCAUACAAAGAACAAUUUCUCGAACUUAAUAAUUAAUUAUUCGAGCAGUAAUUUUUUUUAGUAAUUAAUUCGUCUGGUCGAUUCGCAGUUGCGCGCGCGAAUCUUCGAGAAAUGGAGAAAGACGUCCAUACACGUAUACGAGACGUUAAUCACGUUGAUUCCGCAAGUGCACGUUGUCCUGCUCGUAGAUCGACUCACGACGGUGACGAAGCUUGGCACCUGAGGUGGGAUUUUGAUUUUGUUAAGGUAAAUGAAACGACGAAGAGAAUGGAGGAUCGAGAAUCGAAACGUUUAAUUUUCUAAGAUUCGAAGCUUAACCUCUUGCGCUGGAGUAACGUGCCACGCACGUCGAGAAUAUUCGGCCCAGAAUUGCAAUAUUUUCUCAGUUCAAAGUGUUGGGUAUCGGUAGAUCUCUAGAUUAUCAACAAUACAUAUUGUAAUCGCGACAUCUUCCUUAUAUUUAUGUAAAUGUACGUUAGGUAUAUUGUGCAGCGUAUGAGUCGUUGUCCUCAGUCUAAAUUUGUCCAUGUGCAAGUAAAGUGUAUCAAACUGUGUGUCAAGAAAAUAUAUAUUAUACACAAAUUAAUAUAAACUAUCAGCUCGCUGCGAUUAUUUAAUCCAACAUCAAGUAUAUUGAAAUACAAUCCAGGCGAAACAAAUAAUAAAUUCAU